rnacentral:rRNA from 1 species
CACUGCCGAGAAAAGCCUCUAGAUAGAAAAUAGGUGCCCGUACCGCAAACCGACACAGGUAGUCAAGAUGAGAAUUCUAAGGUGAGCGAGCGAACUCUCGUUAAGGAACUCGGCAAAAUGACCCCGUAACUUCGGGAGAAGGGGUGCUCUUUAGGGUUAACGCCCAGAAGAGCCGCAGUGAAUAGGCCCAAGCGACUGUUUAUCAAAAACACAGGUCUCUGCUAAACCGUAAGGUGAUGUAUAGGGGCUGACGCCUGCCCGGUGCUGGAAGGUUAAGAGGAGUGGUUAGCUUCUGCGAAGCUACGAAUCGAAGCCCCAGUAAACGGCGGCCGUAACUAUAACGGUCCUAAGGUAGCGAAAUUCCUUGUCGGGUAAGUUCCGACCCGCACGAAAGGCGUAACGAUUUGGGCACUGUCUCAACGAGAGACUCGGUGAAAUCAUAGUACCUGUGAAGAUGCAGGUUACCCGCGACAGGACGGAAAGACCCCGUGGAGCUUUACUGUAGCCUGAUAUUGAAAUUCGGCACAGCUUGUACAGGAUAGGUAGGAGCCUUUGAAACGUGAGCGCUAGCUUACGUGGAGGCGCUGGUGGGAUACUACCCUAGCUGUGUUGGCUUUCUAACCCGCACCACUUAUCGUGGUGGGAGACAGUGUCAGGCGGGCAGUUUGACUGGGGCGGUCGCCUCCUAAAAGGUAACGGAGGCGCUCAAAGGUUCCCUCAGAAUGGUUGGAAAUCAUUCAUAGAGUGUAAAGGCAUAAGGGAGCUUGACUGCGAGACCUACAAGUCGAGCAGGGUCGAAAGACGGACUUAGUGAUCCGGUGGUUCCGCAUGGAAGGGCCAUCGCUCAACGGAUAAAAGCUACCCCGGGGAUAACAGGCUUAUCUCCCCCAAGAGUUCACAUCGACGGGGAGGUUUGGCACCUCGAUGUCGGCUCAUCGC